rnacentral:rRNA from 1 species
AGUGAACGCUGGCGGUAGGCCUAACACAUGCAAGUCGAACGGCAGCACAGUAAGCGCUUGCUCUUACGGGUGGCGAGUGGCGGACGGGUGAGGCAUACAUCGGAAUCUACUUUUUCUUGGGGGAUAACGUAGGGCCACUUACGCUAAUACCGCAUACGACCUACGGGUGAAAUCAGGGGAUCUUCGGACCUUGCGCGAUUGAUUGAGCCGAUGUCGGAUUAGCUAGUUGGCGGGGUAAAGGCCCACCAAGGCAACGAUCCGUAGCUGGUCUGAGAGGAUGAUCAGCCACACUGGAACUGAGACACGGUCCAGACUCCUACGGGAGGCAGCAGUGGGGAAUAUUGGACAAUGGGCGCAAGCCUGAUCCAGCAAUACCGCGUGAGUGAAGAAGGCCUUCGGGUUGUAAAGCCCUUUUGUUGGGAAAGAAAAGCAGCAUGUUAAUACCCCGCUGUUCUGACGGUACCCAAAGAAUAAGCACCGGCUAACUUCGUG